AUCCAGCAAAGAUAGAGAAAG
rnacentral:snRNA from 1 species